GGUCUUUCGCCUGUUCAAGGUCCACUGCCGGUCAAGUUCCCGCUUCCAGAUCCCAGAAACCCCUUGUCUCUCAAGCCGGGAUCUCUCAAUUUCGACUCUUCAAAGUCUGCCCUGGUCAAGACUGAGAGUGUUUCUGCAGCGAUAGCCGGGGCUAGAGCUGCCGCGACUCAGUAUUCGAGGAAGGGUAGUACUGCUGCCACUAGCAGUGAGAUUCAAACUCGAGGGAAAUCGAGGGAGAAUCAUGCCGAUGGCAGUUCAGGGAGUGGGGCUCUGCCGUCUGUUGUCCAGAACAGUCAAUCGCAUCUGCAAAACCAGGAUCCAUCGCCUGUUGUCCACAACAGUCCAUUGCAUUUGGUAAUCCAGAAUCCAUCGCCUGUUGUCCAGAACAGUCCAUCAUACUCGCAAACUCGGAAUCCUCAGUAUAUUGCUCAGAGCAGUCCAUCCUACUCGCAAACUCGGAAUUCUCAGUAUAUGGUUCAGAGCAGUCCAUCCUAUUCGCCAACUCAGAAUCCUCGGUAUAUGGCUCAGAGCAGUCCAUCCUAUUCGCGGAACCAGAGUCAAUCGUCCAAUAUCCAGAGCACUCCAUUCUAUUUCCAUGACCAGAAUCAAUCGUCCAAUGUCCACAGCAAUCCAUCCCAUUUCCAUUAUCAGAAUCAAUCUUCCACUGUCCACAACAGUCCAUCCUAUUCUCAUAAUCAGAACCCAUCGCCCAAUGUCCAGAACGGUCCAUCGUACUCGCAAAACCAUAACCCUUCUCCUGUUGCCCAGAACAGUCCAUUGUUUUUGCAACACCAGAACGCCGAGCCUCGGAGAAGUCCCAGACUACAGGGUGGAGCUCCCCACAGGCUCGUUGCAGCAGCGCUGAGAGACUUGAAGCAGUCAAGCUUGCGCGAGAGCGGGGAGCAAUCAUCAGCUCCCAGAAGCUGGCCUGAAUAA
rnacentral:rRNA from 1 species